rnacentral:rRNA from 1 species
GACGAACGCUGGCGGCGUGCUUAACACAUGCAAGUCGAACGGAAAGGCCCUGCUUUUGUGGGGUGCUCGAGUGGCGAACGGGUGAGUAACACGUGAGUAACCUGCCCUUGACUUUGGGAUAACUUCAGGAAACUGGGGCUAAUACCGGGUAGGAGCUCCUGCUGCAUGGUGGGGGUUGGAUAGUUUCGGCGGUUGGGGAUGGACUCGCGGCUUAUCAGCUUGUUGGUGGGGUAGUGGCUUACCAAGGCUUUGACGGGUAGCCGGCCUGAGAGGGUGACCGGCCACAUUGGGACUGAGAUACGGCCCAGACUCCUACGGGAGGCAGCAGUGGGGAAUAUUGCACAAUGGGCGGAAGCCUGAUGCAGCAACGCCGCGUGCGGGAUGACGGCCUUCGGGUUGUAAACCGCUUUCGCCUGUGACGAAGCGUGAGUGACGGUAAUGGGUAAAGAAGCACCGGCUAACUACGUG